UGGCCCGUGGAUGGCCUGUGGGUGGCCUGUGGAUGUCCUGUGGAUGUCCUGUGGAUGGUCAGUGCAUGGUCGGUGGUGGGAUGUUGCCGAACAACCAGCGGCAUCAAUGGUCGUGUCGGAAGCCGAGGCCUCGGACGAAAAACACGUGGAUCCGGAUGGAAUGGACAGGAUCGGGUGGUAGCAGCGGACAGUGACCAAUAUUGAAACCGUGGCACACUGAGAAUGUGAGGAGUCAUGGAGCACGUUGAUGAGGGUGGAGCUGGAACGAUCGGUUGGACACUGGAGUAAGCUGAUAGGCUUUAAAAGAGUGGCACAAUAAACGGAUGGGCGGUCAGGCAUGUCGUCGAGCAAGCAGCGAAGCGAUACCACUUUGGACUGGGAACCGAGGAGCAUGUGGAUGAGGCUGGAAUGGCCGGGUAGCUGCAGAGGACAGUGGUCAAGAAUAGAAUGAUGACACAAUAAACUGAUGGAUACUGGAUGAGUAGAGGGACCUCGAGAAACGUAGCGACUGAAAGAUGGGGCGGGGGCAGUGGAGAACGUGGAUCAGGAUAGAUUGGAGCGAUCGGGACGGUGUGCAAAUGGCAAUGGAGUCAGUCAAGGAUGGACUUUAGUCCAACAAAGGUAACGAGGGUUUGAAAUGAUUUUGAAAAAAAAGUAAAAUAAAAUUUUUGAUGAAAAUUAAAGACACUAAUAAAAUAUUAUUUUUUAUUCGUCUUUUCCAAAUCAGUGUGUCCAUUUUUAAAGUGUCUACUGGAAGCUUCAUUUUUUGAAUUCCAUAAAUUAAAAUUUCAUUUCCAAAUCAGUGUGUCCACUUUUAAAGUGUCCACUGGAAGCUUCAUUUUUUGAACUCCAGAAAUUUAAGUUUCAUUUCCAAAUCAGUGUCCCGUGGUGGAAAAAUUUUUUUUUCCUUUUUUUUGGGAUGAAAAAAUUCGCAAAAAAAAUUUUUCAUCCCAGAAAAAAAAGGGGGAAAAAAGGUUCAGAAAAAACAAACAAACAUUUUUGUCGCUGGAUGGACUUUAGUCCAACAAAGGUAACGAGGGUUUGAAAUGAUUUUGAAAAAAAAGUAAAAUAAAAUUUUUGAUGAAAAUUAAAGACACUAAUAAAAAUAUUAUUUUUAUUCGUCUUUUAAUUUUACAAAAUUUUCAAUAAAAAUUUAAGACACUAAUAAAAAUAUUAUUUUUAUUCGUCUUAUAAUUUUAGAAAAUUUUCAAUAAAAAUUUAAGACACUAAUAAAAUAUUAUUUUUAUUCGUCUUUUAAUUUUAGAAAAUUUUCAAUAAAAAUUAAAGACACUAAUAAAAAUAUGAUUUUUAUUCGUCUUAUAAUUUUAGAAAAUUUUCAAUAAAAAUUUAAGACACUAAUAAAAUAUUAUUUUUAUUCGUCUUUUAAUUUUAGAAAAUUUUCAAUAAAAAUUAAAGACACUAAUAAAAAUAUGAUUUUUAUUCGUCUUUUAAUUUUAGAAAAUUUUCAAUAAAAAUUAAAGACACUAAUAAAAUAUGAUUUUUAUAUAUCUUUCUUUCUUUCUUUAAUUCAUUUGUCUUUUUUUUCAAUUUUGAAAUAGUUAUUUAAUUUGGUCAAUUUUGUUUCUUAAAUAAUCUUGAUAAUAAAACAUCGAUUAAAAAUAU
ensembl:lincRNA linc-82 ncRNA